GGGUGGCUGGCGCAAUGGUAGCGCGUUGGUUUUCGGCACCAAAGGUUGUGGAUUCGAGUCCCACGUCGCUCG
rnacentral:tRNA from 1 species